rnacentral:rRNA from 1 species
UACGUAGGGUGCGAGCGUUAAUCGGAAUUACUGGGCGUAAAGCGUGCGCAGGCGGUUUUGUAAGUCUGUCGUGAAAUCCCCGGGCUCAACCUGGGAAUGGCGAUGGAGACUGCAAGGCUAGAAUCUGGCAGAGGGGGGUAGAAUUCCACGUGUAGCAGUGAAAUGCGUAGAGAUGUGGAGGAACACCGAUGGCGAAGGCAGCCCCCUGGGUCAAGAUUGACGCUCAUGCACGAAAGCGUGGGGAGCAAACAGG